rnacentral:lncRNA from 1 species
CAGAGUCAAGUUUCUCCCUCCCCUCCCUCGCUACUCUCUCCUCCCUCUGCAGGCUCCGGAUCAGGCUGCCAAUCUGUAAAUGAUGUUUUAGGUUUUUCUUUGUUGUUGUUUUGGUGCUGUGAAGCCUGCCUUGUUAACACCAGGUGCUGAAAGAUUAAAACUUAUCAAUCACCAUCAUCAAGGGGGAGUUGCCGGGCACAAGUUCUCUUCUCUUGUCUGCUGCCAUGUGAGACAUACCUUUCACCUUCCGCCAUGAUUGUGAGGCCUCUCCAGCCACGUGGAACUCAGGUUUCAGUCCUUGAGGAGCGCUCACUAGGAUGGUAAUUGUUUGAUCGAUAGAUUAAGUGAGUUGGAAGACUCUCCAAGUGAAAAUUUAAAAUUACUGCAGUUUUGGCCUGAUGAUGUUAACCAGCAAGAACAGAAUCUGAAACCAGAUGAGCUGUUAGUACUGCUUUCAUCUGUUUUACAGCCACAGCGACAGCAGUUCCCUGGCUUCUGGAAGGAGUGUCGGUCUAUCCAAAAAAUGUACUAACAGAUAUGUAAAGUCUGUCAUCCAUUUGCAGCAAAUUUUGCCUACGGUAUGAAAUAGGAGUUCAAUUUGACAUUGAAUAUUGAUAUCUUAGCAAUAUUAUCUCCCAAUCUGUGAACACGAAAUUUCUUUAUAUUUAUUCAAAUUAUCUUUGGUUUUUAAUGAUGUUAAAUCCAAGUAUUCUUUGUGAUGCUGUUGUAAAUGGAAUUUUUUGUGUUGUUCAUUGCUAAUGUAUAAAAACCAAUGAUGUUUGUAUAUUAAUCUUGUAUCCUGCAACCUCAUUGAACUAGUUUAUUAGCUCUAGUAAUAUGUUGGUGUGAAUCCCUUAAUAUUUUCUACAUACAAGAUCAUGUCAUCUGCAAAUUGUUUUACUUCUUCCUUUCCAAUUUGGAUGCUUUUUAUUUCAUCUUGCCUACUGCUUUGGCUACAACCUCCAGUACAAGAUUGAAUAGAAGUGAUGAGACAGAACAUCCUUGUCUUAUUUGUGAUCUCUGGGGGGGAAGGCUUACAGUAUUUUGCAUCAACAUAUCAGCUACGGGUUUUUCAUAGAUGUCCUUUCUCAGGAUGAAAAAGUCCAUGUUUGGCUUUUUGAAUGUUUUCAUCUAAGAGUUUUGGAUUUUGCCAAAUGUUAAAUGCUUCUUCUGUAUGCAUUGAGAUGAUCUUGUUGUUUUUGUCCUUUAUUCUAAUAAUAUGGUGUACUACAUUGAUUUCUGUAUGUUGAAGUUUGUAUUCCUAAGAUAAAUCUCACUUGCUUAUGGUGUACAUUCCUUUCUAUAUGUUGCUGGAUUUACUUUCAUUAGUAUUUUGUUGAGGAUUUUUGCCUCUAUAUUGAGGGCUAUUGGCCUGUAGUUGUUUUCUUUGCCUGAUUUCUAAUGUGGGUGAUACUGAAUUGGGAAGGGUAUCCUCCUUCUCUGUUUUUUGGUGUUUGUGAAUAAUUGGUGGUAUUCUGUAAAUGUUUGACAGAAUUCACCAGUGAAGACAUCUGCUCCUGGACUUUUUCCCGUGGGAAGUUUGUUUUUAAGAGAUGGGAGUCUCACUCUCACCCAGGCUGGAGUGCAGUGGUGUGACAAUAGCUCACUACAGCCU